rnacentral:lncRNA from 1 species
GUUUUGAUAUAUUUUAAAAGAAAAACUUCAAAUACCACCCAUGUAAUUUCACACUUUUUCACUUUAAUAAUGUGUGGUUUAAAAUGUAUCAAUUUAGUGCCAUAUUGUUUCAUUUUUAUCUUUCUAUUAUAAAUUUUUUUUUUUUUCGUUAAAUUAGUGAGAAAGUUAAAACUAAAGGGUAUUAAAGUGAAUAUUCGAUAGGUAGGGUAUCUGAACUUUUUUUUUUUUUUUU